rnacentral:lncRNA from 1 species
UGGUCCAGCAGUCUGGGAGCAGGGGUGGGGUGUCUGUAGCCUCGAUGUGGGCAGUAAGGGGGGUGGGCACAGAACCAGGCAGAGGGGGGCUUUAAGACCACAUAUUGGGAAAGCUCAGAAGCCCACUCUGUGUCACUUGAAUUUACCACAGAGGCUGGUACAGUCUGGUCGUUGGCAGUGUGGUCAGAUGCCCUGAUGAGGAGGUAGGAAGGCACCUGAGAGCCUAUCAGCUCAGCCACCCCUCAGUCGCCUUGCCCAGACCUGCUAGGCUGCAAGUACUCAGACCUCCAAGUUAUGCGAUGCGAGUGGCUCCAUGCUUGCCCUCUCCCUGUGCUGGACAGUCCUUCCCCAAGCCCGAUGUGGCUGUGGCAGCGCUGGCCUCCAUGGAGCUUGUCUUCACUAUGUGGCUCCAGUCAUAGCCCAACAAGAAAGGUUUCAGCAGAGAUUUCAGCACAGACAUUAAGGGAGAGGGCGCAGAAAGCAAGUAUGCACACCAGCACACUGACGGGGCUUCCUGAGAGAUGCUCACCAGGACCAGCUUCGUAAAGAAAUCUCAGCGUUCCAAAUUCCCUUUAAAAAACAUAUUUAUUCCAUUAUACAGGGUUGUGUAAGAUAUUUCC